GAUGAACGCUGGCGGCGUGCCUAAUACAUGCAAGUCGAGCGAACGGACGAGAAGCUUGCUUCUCUGAUGUUAGCGGCGGACGGGUGAGUAACACGUGGAUAACCUACCUAUAAGACUGGGAUAACUUCGGGAAACCGGAGCUAAUACCGGAUAAUAUUUUGAACCGCAUGGUUCAAAAGUGAAAGACGGUCUUGCUGUCACUUAUAGAUGGAUCCGCGCUGCAUUAGCUAGUUGGUAAGGUAACGGCUUACCAAGGCAACGAUGCAUAGCCGACCUGAGAGGGUGAUCGGCCACACUGGAACUGAGACACGGUCCAGACUCCUACGGGAGGCAGCAGAAGGGAAUCUUCCGCAAUGGGCGAAAGCCUGACGGAGCAACGCCGCGUGAGUGAUGAAGGUCUUCGGAUCGUAAAACUCUGUUAUUAGGGAAGAACAUAUGUGUAAGUAACUGUGCACAUCUUGACGGUACCUAAUCAGAAAGCCACGGCUAACUACGUG
rnacentral:rRNA from 1 species